AGUGGCGGACGGGUGAGUAACGCGUGGGUAACCUGCCCUGUACAGGGGGACAACAGCCGGAACCGGCUGCUAAUACCGCAUAAGCCCGCGGCGCCGCAUGGCGCUGCGGGGAAAACUCCGGUGGUACAGGAUGGGCCCGCGUCUGAUUAGCUAGUUGGCGGGGUAACGGCCCACCAAGGCAGCGAUCAGUAGCCGGCUUGAGAGAGUGGACGGCCACAUUGGGACUGAGACACGGCCCAGACUCCUACGGGAGGCAGCAG
rnacentral:rRNA from 1 species